AGUCCAAUUUUGAGCAAAUUCUGAUGGGGAUGAUGAAAGACACAUUCCAGACAUUAAUGUGAGUCCU